rnacentral:misc_RNA from 1 species
GCCUCUGCCUGCAAAAGAUACCAAGAGCCACCGGAUCUUUCAUUCACUCUCCACUUUUUAGCUAUAAAUUCAUACCCACCUCGUUGUUUCCGCUUGCCAAGCUCAUAAGCCUACCUGCCCAACUCAACUCUCAUAUUUGAUCCUCUCCUGUUCAGGGUAAAUAUGGCAACUGUGACUGUUCCCUCCCAAUGCAUGGUCAAAAUUGCACCCAAAAAUCAGUUUGCAAGCACCAUAAUCAAGAAUCCGUGUUCACUGGGAUCAGUAAGGAGCAUCUCCAAGUCUUUUCGCUUGAAAUGCUCCCAAAAUUUCAAAGCAUCAAUGGCAGUGUACAAAAUCAAGUUAAUUGGGCCAGAAGGUGAAGAGCAAGAAUUUGAUGCAGCUGAUGAUACAUACAUCCUAGAUGCAGCUGAGAAUGCUGGAGUUGAGCUGCCGUAUUCUUGCAGGGCUGGGGCUUGCUCUACUUGUGCCGGGAAGAUGGUGUCAGGUUCAGUCGACCAGUCUGAUGGUUCCUUCCUGGAUGAGACUCAAAUGAGCGAGGGUUAUCUACUGACUUGCAUUUCAUACCCGACUUCUGAUUGUGUGAUUUACACUCACCAGGAGAGUGAACUUUGCUGAGUAUUGUCUGUCAUAGUUCAGUAGAUUAUGAAGUUUAAGUAAACCUGUUAAAAGGAUUCGUCUGAUGAUGAAGGUUCUUUUGGACCUUUGGUUCUUUUUUAAGUGGCUUUAUAAUCAGUAUGUUGGUGAUAUUCACCCAUCCAGUUUGUACUGGUAAUUCUGUUGCCUAAAUUUAUAAGCUUUGAUUUAUGAAAUGUGACCAUUUUCAAA